rnacentral:rRNA from 1 species
GAUGAACGCUGGCGGCGUGCCUAAUACAUGCAAGUCGAGCGAACAGACGAGGAGCUUGCUCCUCUGACGUUAGCGGCGGACGGGUGAGUAACACGUGGAUAACCUACCUAUAAGACUGGGAUAACUUCGGGAAACCGGAGCUAAUACCGGAUAAUAUAUUGAACCGCAUGGUUCAAUAGUGAAAGACGGUUUUGCUGUCACUUAUAGAUGGAUCCGCGCCGCAUUAGCUAGUUGGUAAGGUAACGGCUUACCAAGGCAACGAUGCGUAGCCGACCUGAGAGGGUGAUCGGCCACACUGGAACUGAGACACGGUCCAGACGCCUACGGGAGGCAGCAGUAGGGAAUCGUCCGCAAUGGGCGAAAGCCUGACGGAGCAACGCCGCGUGAGUGAUGAAGGUCUUCGGAUCGUAAAACUCUGUUAUUAGGGAAGAACAAAUGUGUAAGUAACUAUGCACGUAUUGACGGUACCUAAUCAGAAAGCCACGGCUAACUACGUG